rnacentral:lncRNA from 1 species
AUAUCUUGAAACUUGGUGCUUCACAAUGCAAAACACACAAGUUAGAAACAAGGUUGAAGGCAACAAAUAAACCAAAGUAAACAACUAAAAAAGAACGAAUAAAUCGAAGAAGUCAAUCAAUAUUGAAGAAAAAGGUUUGGUUUUGAAAGGAGAGUUCUUUCUCGAUGUUUUCUUGUCAAAACAAGGUUGCCAAACAUGAAACAGUCAAAUAAACAAUAAAAUUGAACAAAAAGAUAGAGGAGAGGAGUAGGGGUAUUCGACCAGUAAGUAGAACUCAAGAUUUAGGACUCUGGAUGAACCCUUGAACUAAUCUCGAUGCACAAGGAAGAUUUUGAACCAGAUCUGAAACAAAAGAACAAAAUAGUUUAGAAAUCAAAUUAAAAAGAAUGAAAAAACACACACAAAUAUUUCAAAGGGAAAGAGGCGUCUAAUGGGAAAGUCCAAGAUUAGGGAGAACUAGGGUUUCUUGAAUGAAAAGAAACCUAUCUUCUACCCCAAGGAAUUCCAAAUUCAAAUCUAAAAUUGAGAAACAAAAACAUAUUGUUAGAAUGAUUAAAAUUGAAGCAAAAACAAUCUUCUUGUUUAAAGAAAGAAUCAGAAGAAAAGAUAAAUAGAGAUCUCUUGUUUUUUGUAAUCUUGAUGGAUGAACAAGUUGUAAGAGCCCAUUUUUGCCCGGAGCCCGAAACCAAUACAAGCCCAAAUAAAUCUAAACCCAAAUACCAAUUAAAACCAAACACAAAAUAAAAGCAAAAACCAGGCCCAAAUACAAAAUUAACCCUAGCCCAAAACUAAGAAACUUUCAGCCAAGGGAAACCCUAGGUGCGCCGCAUUUAGGUCUGACCCCUACCCGCCAACCUCGUGCACGUUGCCUCUGCUACCAGUCGCCGCUCACGCACACCACCGGCCUCCAUCGCGCAUGCUACCACCACGCGUCUAACACCCCUAUCACCUGCAACAUAUAACAAACAACACACAAGCACUAGAAGACAACAGAAACAACAAAAAAUAGAAGUUCAACACUUUUAAAGAUUUGGCUAUAUAAGCCGAACACAACCAUUGUAAUCUCCUUCCGAUUUUUAGGAACACAGAUAUUGAAAUAAAAAACAUAAAACAAAAAAGGUCGACUUUGAACUUCUCUCUCUCUAUUUUUAUUUUUAUUUUUAUGUACAUAUUUAUUCUUAUUUUUUAUUUUUAUUUUUACCUUUUUUUCUCUUUGAAUCGAUUCUAAAAACAAUAGAUAAGGAACGAAAAAAAACUACCUGGAUCGGCCCUUAGGCCCGCCGUAGAUGGCACUCCACCGUCGCCGAACGUGGGUUUAGAGAGGAGCCAAAGCUUUUCUAUUUCCCUUCGUUUCCCUCUUCCAUGGUCUCGACCUCUGAACGCGUUUCAAUGCACCGAUAGAGGUGACCGUCGCUUGGCUCCAGCCACCGGGCGAUGGGGAAGCUUGACGGCGGCAGGGUUCUAAGGCAAAUCUUGGAACCCUAGCACAGAAAGGACAACCCCCAUUUUUAUUUUUUUGAGAUUCUUUGCAAAAGAAAAAA